rnacentral:rRNA from 1 species
GACGAACGCUGGCGGCGUGCUUAACACAUGCAAGUCGAACGGAAAGGCCCUGCUUUUGUGGGGUGCUCGAGUGGCGAACGGGUGAGUAACACGUGAGUAACCUGCCCUUGACUUUGGGAUAACUUCAGGAAACUGGGGCUAAUACCGGAUAGGAGCUCCUGCUGCAUGGUGGGGGUUGGAAAGUUUCGGCGGUUGGGGAUGGACUCGCGGCUUAUCAGCUUGUUGGUGGGGUAGUGGCUUACCAAGGCUUUGACGGGUAGCCGGCCUGAGAGGGUGACCGGCCACAUUGGGACUGAGAUACGGCCCAGACUCCUACGGGAGGCAGCAGUGGGGAAUAUUGCGCAAUGGGCGGGAGCCUGAUGCAGCGACGCCGCGUGCGGGAUGACGGCCUUCGGGUUGUAAACCGCUUUCGCCUGUGACGAAGCGUGAGUGACGGUAAUGGGUAAAGAAGCACCGGCUAACUACGUG